CAAAAUGAGUCUUGUAGGAGGGAUUGCUAAUGUUAAACGGGAGCAUCUUAACAUCAUGAGGAAGAUGCAUUGCAUGAACAUUCUGUCGCAAAUUAUAAGGUAUCAAGAUAAAACAAGUUCCUUGUUACCAGUGGCGACUUAUUUUUCUUCCCAAAUGGAUUUAAAAGGGUGGCAAAUCAUUUUGAAAGAAAUCCAUAGAGACAAUAAAAGCAAAAGACUGUUGACAACUCAUUGCAAUUGGAUAUAAUUAGGAGUAUAAUUCCGCACAUGAGUGACACAAAAACUAGAGAUAAGCCGAAGCCACUUUUUGGUUAAUCCUCUUCCUGUGACUUCAGAUAAAACUUCCGUGGAAUAUUAAUGACAAAUAGUUUCACUAAAAACAUGGCAAAAUUGAGCGUUGUCCUUUGCAUGUCAUGCAGAUUUCAUACAACUAUAUUCAAAUCUAUCCCCGUGCAAUUAAAGAGACUCUCCAAACCUGGAUUUCACCAGACUGACGUUUGAGACAACUGUCCACUCCAUCUGCAGCGGAUUGAGCUUUGAGCGGUUUUUCAUCUUGAGCAGAAUUCCAAGACAUGAAUUGAGGUAUACCCACCUUGCUUGACAACGGCCAGCGAAACCCUGAUACAAAAAAGAAUCAUUUUAACAUAAUACAUACUACAAACAAUUAGUACAAAAACUAUAACUAUCUGAUUCACUUAUUACCUCAGAAUUGGAAGGAAAUUUUUCAUUUUGUCUCAACAACAAUUAAGAGUUUUUUACUUAAGAUUUAACUAAAAACAUAUUAACUAGCAAAAGCAAAAUUCAGCAAAGACCUUCUUAGGACACACUCACCUUUUCCACCAUGGCAAAAUCAAUUAAUCCUACCAUCAUCCUUAGGCUUUAAUCCGACUUCCUUAUUUGUUCUUAUAUCAAAAGGAUCUCUUUUUUUAUAAGCUGAUACUUCAAACUUCUUGCAACAACAACAAUAACGACCAAUAGAUCCCACGAGUGGGGUCUGGGGAAGGUAGUACGUACGCAGACCUUAUCUCUACCCGAGGGCAGAGAGCAUAGAAACUCGGCUCAAAAAUUGUAUCUUCUUUUCAAACUUCUUGGAAAAUAAAAAAUUUACCAAAUCAGAAACUCAGAAGUUAGCUUUUAGCAAUUAUAAAUUCUUUUCUUGGCAGGCUAGCCAAAAUUUUGUCAGGGAAACAGCAUCUUUAUAGGGAAACCAAGUCACCAAGCAACCGCGCAGAAAUAUAAAGCCCCACAAUAGGGGAAAGAAGAAACUUUUAACAACACAAAAUACUCAAUUUAGGCAGCAUAAAUACAUAGAGCAAAAAUAAACAUUUUUCUUUAACCUGUCUACAUUAAUUUCAACUGGAAUCAACACUCAUGCAUUAAAGAACCUAACAAAUUAGAUAAUACUACUAAAGUUCCCAAUGGUAUACAUACUCACAACGAAGAAACAGUAUGAGUUUAAUUCACAAUUGAAAAAAAAACGAACCAGAGUCUUUGCAGGUUUCAACAGGUUCUUCCUUGACCACAACAACAGAAUCUUUAGAGUUGAGUCCCAUGAAAUCUCUCUCCAUCUCAAAGAAUUUCAAGAAAUACCUAAAAUUUAAAAAUCCAAUAGUUUUAACCUCACAAAGAAGCAGAUCAAAACAACAUAAGCUAAAA
rnacentral:lncRNA from 1 species